GGUGGAGGAGGUGCAACAUUCCCUGGAUUAGGGUUUGCUGUACCUGGAUAAAAGGAUGGGGGUGGGUACAUAGGGUACUGUGAGUAUGGUGGGUAGAAAGGUGGGUAUGGCAUGUAAGAAGGAUAAGGGUUAAAGCUGGGGUAAUCCGAUGUACCUCCCAUCGAAUACCCGGGAUUCUGUGAAAAGGGUGGGUAUUGGGGUGGUUGAACAAACCCCGAGGCCUGAGUGCCUCCCUGAGACUCUCCCAUGCCCUCUUCCGACAUGCUCACACCAAGACUGUCAUCCCUCCUCUGAUCCACAUCCAUAUCAUCCCCCACAUCUUCUGACACUCCACCUUGAACUGUUCCUCUUCUGCUC
rnacentral:lncRNA from 1 species